GUUCUGUUCAGGCUGUUGAACAGGGAGGACGUGGUUGUACUCAUACCAUUUAUAUAGUGGAUUUUUGAGUGGACUACGGUCCCGUGGUUUUUCCUUCUCACAUCGAGGAGGUUUUCCACGUAAAAAUUGUGUGUCUCAUUUAGUUAUCGCAACUUUGAUAUCUUGCCAUCGUCGAAGUAUUUUCCUCACAGGUUCGCACAAGGUCAGGGGAACACGACCGUGAUAUUCCGCUGCGCCGUGUGUCUUUCCCCAACAAAUGCAAGUCCCAGUUGGUGUGAGGUUUGUGAGGAAACUUUAGAUUCAAACAAAUGGCUUUAUACAUGUAAUGAAUGUAGGGCCACCUUCCAUAUCCCAUGCUUACUAGGGAAAUGUGCAGUUUAUGUCAACCCUGCUAAAAAUCUCUUGUUAGAAGAUGUUAAGAUCGAUAUAUUUGUGAAUGACGGUCUCACUCGACCAUCUGUUAUGAUUGUGAAAGGCGUUGCCAAGAUAAACUGUUGCUUAAAAUGACUGCUGCUGCUGCUGCUGGUGGUGGUGAUGAUGAUGAUGAUGAUAAUGAUGAUGAUGAUGAAAAGAUAAACAGACCACUUUGCUACCGUCAUUGGUAAGUGCGCUCUACCAGGAAUCCGAGUGAUUUUGAGGGAUAAUUACAUUUUCUAGUUGGUAUUGUGUGUUGCUUUUAAGAGUCUGCAUAAAGGUAGUUAGUAUAAUAUUUAUUUUUACUUGUAAUUAAGUGUAACAACUGAAAUUCUCAAUGUAGUAUCUAUAUAUAUAUAAUAGAGUUUACUCAGUCCUGGUGAAAGACACGUCAUCAAUUAGUUUCAUGAGAUUCUGACACGUGUGCUAUUCAUUUUGUGUUUCGUAACUUAAGUUUACAUAUGUUUUUUAUGGGUUUCAUCAGUGUUCUGAUGGGCCUCGACUGAAUGGGUUAUUGAACUCCCAUCUCUUAAGCAAAGGUUCUUUUUUCCGUGGAGACUUCGAUGUAACAGGUCAAAGGUCAUCACCAGCAAAGUGCAAUCUGGGACGUUACACAAGUUUAUUGAUUCUAAGGGUCUUCUUUAACGCUCUCAUUAACAACAGCUCCCACUCUUCACACGAUCUGUCAAUCAAUGCAUCUAUUACUUCCAUUGUGAAUCUUGACUAUAAAUAGGUCAGCAUCAAUCCGUCAAAAUCAUAACGCUUGGAGACUACAACGUUGGUUUCUGCUGAAAGCUUGCGGUGUUGAUGGAUUUCCGAUGAUACUGGCCAGUUGGAUGCACAUGAAUUUCACAAAAUCAGGAAUUAAGGGCAAAUUCCUUUCUUGGUUUGCACCGGUCAAGAGUUAAUUUGUCUCAGAAGAGAUCCUGAAGAAUGCACCAGUUCCUGCGAUUGUUCAUGCGAUUGUUUGCCAGAACUAUGUCGAUUUUGUUUUGUUUGGUAAAAUAUGAGUCAUUUCCUCAGAUUUUUUUCUUCAUCAGAAGCCUCACUAAGAAGGAACCAGUUCCUAAGAUUGUUCCAGUGGCCGCUUUGUGAUGUUCUUUACCUUAAGCAGUUGAAUCACUUGAAAAAGUAUUAAAGAAGAAGAAUUAAGUAAAGGGAAGAUUCAGUGCUGAAAAGAGUAUCAGCUGCAGUCACCAUUUGGAUUUGUUUUAGACGACAUAUCCACAGAUUUGGGUUUGUUCAUCAUAAAGAUCAGUUGGAUCUAUUAAACGAAGAUGAUACUAAAGCCGUCAACAAAAAACAAGUUGCAAGAAAAUGUUGAGAUCGGCAGAGGACAAAAUGACUUAAAACUAUAAGAAUCUUACAACUAUAAGUUGCAAGCUUUGUGAUGUUCUUUACCACAAGGAAGACAAGUAAAUUACGAUUUAGUUGGUUUGUUUUCAUUUAGUUGGUGUGCUUCUGAUUUUGUACAAAUUAUAGUGCAGCAUCAAUUUCUUAUGGAACAACAAAAGAUUCACAAUGUAUUUAAAAACAUAUUUAAAUUGACCUUCAACUGUAUUAAAUAGCA